rnacentral:lncRNA from 10 species
CCCAACCGGGAAGCGGUGAACAGUCAGGGCUGGAUGCCUCCCUGGGCAGGGGGCCCAGGCAGGGGCUGGAACUUCCCAAUGCAGAGAGUAACCCUGUGCCCAGCAGGGAAGGGACCGCUUCUGUGCCCAUUUCACAGAUGCACAAACUAAGGCCAUCACACCAUGAGUGAGGGGCUAAGCCGGAGCUUAAGCCCACGAAGAGAAGAAGGAGGGGAAGAAGAUCAGGAACGGAACUCGCUCCUGCCCCCCUUGGCUGGGUCUUUCCUGGGCCAUGAAGGACGGGAGGGAGAAGACCGGGACAGGAGACGACCGUUUGGAGGGUGGAGGCAAAAUACUUGAGGGAGAGAAGCCAGACCAAGUGGCCUUCCUGUUCCAUUCAGGUUCCAGGGAGGAAAGGAACCGGCCCUAGGUGGAGAAUGGGCGGGGAGCCCUGCUGUGUGGUCUUGGCCACGCCCCUCUCUGGGCCAACCUGGUUGUCCAAAGGCCCCGGAGAAGGGAGAGACCCCUGUCAACGUUGGAGGGUUGGCUGGCUGGAGAGGGGCGCCCUCUUUUUCUUCUCAGUUGUCCGGGUCAGUCCGCACUCUGAGGCUCCGUGGACUCCAAGCAGCCUCGGGGCUUGCAAGCCCUCCUCCCCCACUCCCUCCGCCCCAGCCCCCUGCCUCGGGUCGGGUGGGGGAAUUAGGUGGGGGGAGUCUCUGGCCUGAUUUGCCUCGGUCCCCCCUACACACCGCUGCUUCUGCGAGCCACACCCUGGAGUUUGUGGAAUGAAUGAGCAGAGAAGGCGCGCCCGGCACGGGGUGUGGAGGCUGAGGGCCAAACAGCGAGGGAUACCAAGCUUCGCCGACG